UUUUUUUUUCUUUUUUUUUUUUCUUGCUUUUUAGGGCUGCACCCAAGGCAUGUUAAAGCUCCCAGGCUAGGGGUCGAAUCGGAGCUGCAGCUGCCAACUUAUGCCACAGCCAUAGCAAUGCCAGAGCUGAGCUGAGUCUGCUAUCUACACUGCAGUUCAUGGCAAUGCUGGAUUCUUAACCCACUGAGUGAGGCCAGGGAUCAAACCCACAUCCUCAUGGAUACUAGUCAGGUUCAUAACCAUUGAGCCUCAAUGGGAGCUCCUCAAAUAUAUUUUCUUAACCCCCUUACUGAAAAGGCUGGAAAGGAAUGAAAUCCACUGACAGUGAACACACACACACACACACACACACAGAAAGAAUGCUUAAAUAAAUAUGGAGAAAUGUUAAUAAUUAGGGAAUCUGGGUGAAGGGAAUGCAGGAGUUCUUAGUAUAUUCUUGCAAAUUUUCUGUAAAUAUGAAAUUAUUUCAAAACAAAAAUUUACAAAAAGGAAUUCAGUGUUGGACUGGUGGAGUUUGAGAUAUCUGGUAGACAUCUGAAUGGAGAUGUCCCUCAGGCAGUACUGUAUUCUGGAGUUUAAGAUAAAAGUUCGGGCUGAAGAUAAAACAUUGUGAGGUCUUCAUUAUAAAUGGAGUUUAAGGCUGUGAAAAUUGAUAAGAUACCAAGGUAGUAAAUUAAGGUAGAAUAGAGCCAAGGACGGAGUCCUGGAACAAUUAAAUAUCUAAUUUAUAUUUCCCUUAAUAAUGCUCUCUUCUUGACUUUUAGUCACUUGCCUAAAAUGGAGACCUUGGGAUUUAUUUAAAAGCCAGCUGUGAAUAGAGAAGAAACACUGUUAGCAGCUCAGGAUUGGAGUUGCUGUUUCCUACCUUCAGCAUUUGAUGACCCCAGCUCAUUCUUACCCCAGACAUUUUGGUGCCUGAUUGCCAGCAGGUUGUCCACAGAAAUUAUCUGUGUUCUAGAAAGUGAUGUCAUCUUGCGUGGCAGGUGGCAGCUGGGUAGAAAUAGGCCUGCCUAUCUCACGACAGGGCAGAACUUAGGAGUGCAAACUCUUUCUUUCAAAUCACAGGCAAACUUCCUGAUACCAAAAUCAUCCUUCAUCUCACAAGCUCCUCUCAUUAGUUUCCUGGUAGAAGGCAGCUGUGCUGCCAGGGAUAGAAACCCCUGGCUAGCCAUAAUUAGAUCUGAAAGAGCACCCCUUUAGUAUGCUCAGCCUUAGUGUCAACCAAUGUUAAUGGCAGUGGGGUUUUUUUUGUGGGGGGGGGUGGGAUUGUACAUAAAAUGAACGAGCUAGGAAGCCUAACAGACAGCAACCCCACCCUACCCCCAAACUGCUGGAUCACCUAUGCAUUGCCUCUGGUCAGUAGGCUUGUUUGAAACAAAUGUCACAGGGAAUGUGUGGUGUUGGCAAUGACCUUUAACAAGAAACUAGAAAUAAAACCUUGGUUCCCUGGUCCAAAGAUUUGCCAUCAGAAAAUCUAUGUCUGUCUUUUGAUACUUUCACUGUGCCUGGAAAUUAUUCUGUACUCAUCUUCCAGGAAGCAGCUUCUCUCCAACCAACUAAUAAUAAGCAUACCUAAAUCUCAUAGAGCACUUUGCAAUUUAUAGGCCCUUGUGUAUCCAUUAUCUCAUUUAAUCUUGACAACAGAACUACAAAAGAGUCUUAACCCCAUUUUGUAGUGAAAGAAACUUAGCUAAGUAUCAUACCAUCAGUAAGCAGCUGUGACUCUUUUCCCUGAUGAAUUGCUAUAGAAAGUAUUUGAAUUUCCACUUUGAACCAGUUGAGAAAAUGUAGUUUUAAUAAUCACAUCAUCCAAUAAAGUCCCUCUAAUGUAAUGGAAAAUAUCUCACAUGAAAGAUAGAGGAGACAAAAUUUUAAAGACCUGCUGGAGGAAAAUGGGAAGCCUCAAUCUCAUGAGACUUGAGGAAUGUAUCUUUUUUUUUUUUUUUCUGUAUCUAAUUUUUUUUUUUGUCUUUUGUUUUUUUAGGGCUGUACCCCCGGCAUAUGGAAGUUCCCAGGCUAGGGGUCAAAUAGGAGCUGCAGCUGCUGGCCACCGCCACAGUGACAGCCACACGGGAUCCAAGGCGUGUCUGCAACCUACACCACAGCUCAUGGCAACACCAGAUCCUUAACCCACUGAGUGAGGCCAGGGAUUGAACCCGAGUCUUCAUGGAUAUUAGUUGGGUUCAUUAACCAUUGAGCCACAACAGGAAUUCUGAGGAAUAUAUUCUUGUUGUUGUUUGGAAACAACAGAAGUCAUGGGGACUGAAAUGAUUGUUGCUUGUGUUGUCUAUGACCAUCCUGGUUUUUCUGAAAGAGUAGGGAUAGUUUCUCAUCAUUAUAGGCAAGCAUCCUCUAAAUUAUAGGGAGAAAACUAUUAAUGUUAGACUUCAAUAUUAUAAAGACUUAGCACUGGAAAUCAAGUCCAGGGAAUAUUGUCACUCACUUUGGCAGCAGAGCUACACCAGGAAAACUUGGGGGAGGAAACACAAUAGGCAGAGAGACAGUUUCUUGUGUGGAGAAAGACUGGGUUCUGUCAAGAGUUCUGGCAUCCUAGGUUGUUGCCAGUAGGCAUCCUGGAGGGGAUGUGAUGAACUACAAGAGAAUGUGUUGGUAGGAAUAUAUCCUUUACAGCUUUAAUGCAAAAUGAGGACUAUUAAGUGUGAUCCAUUCUGCUUUCCUAGAACAGAAAUAUGUUUUCUUGAGAAAUGUCAAGAGUAUUCUUUGCAUACAGGCUGGGAGAGGAGUGGACAGAGAACAGGACAACAGGAAGCCUGGUUUUAGAGAUGUAGAGCAAAGGUGCUAUAAAACACACCAUUUGGGGUAAAAACCAGAUAAAACUUGAGAGGCACCCUUUAUCAUCAUGAGGUUCCUUUUCCUUGGAUGCCAGUGGCAUUCCUCUUAUAAGGUACUUCCCCUGUUUCUCACCCCUUGAAGGUGGGGGCUCAGACCUUCUCUCUUUCCCUGUGCCUGUUAUGACCAGAGUAUACCCAAGCCAUUCUUAUUUAUGUUGGUGCAUUCCAGCAGUGUCUCUCUCACUAACCCCACAUUGGAAUCAUUGGGAGCUUUGAACCAAUGUAUGUAUUAUUUUUUGAAAAGCUGUUUACGUGAUUCUAAUGUGUAGCCAAGGAAGAAAAUACUGUUCAAGAGCAGUGAUUCUCAAGCUUUGAUAUGCAAGUGAAUCACCUGGGGAUCUUGUUAAAUGGCAGUUUCUGGUUUCAGUAAGUCCAGGAUACAGCCUGAGCUUCUGAAUUUUUAACAAGCUCUCAAGUAACACAGAACACUUCAAGUAGCAAAAUUCUACAGCAGUAAUUCUCAAACUCUGGCCACAGAAUGAAAAGAUCACCUGGGGAGACUUCUAGAAUCCCAUUCUCCGUCUAAAGAGCUUGGAAGUUACCAUCCUGUCCUGAAAAUAAAAGCCUGAACAGACCAAAAAUCCAACAACUCUUCUUGGAUCCAAAAUGCAGGAGAGGAUACAGAGCAAAUCACUGCCCUCCUCCCUCCUGCCCAAAGAUUGGAGAGACAGGUGGGUAUAGGGAGUCUCAGCUUAAGAGUGAGUCAGCAGAAACCAAGGGAACAAGUAUACUGGUAGAAAAACCUGAACUAUAAUUGACAAAUGGCUGGAGGCUCAGAAUGGACAACUAGGAGACCCAUACAUUGGAGGUCUCCCACAAUAUUGUGAGAUUUGUCCCCAGGAGCUCCUCCAGAUUCACACAAUAAAUAGGGGAGAGAAAUUUCCUCAUGCUUCCUAUAGAGAGACCUCAGGGGGUAGGAUUAGGAGUGGGGAGAGGUACUAUUUUGAAAUACACAAGACAGAGUGCUCUGUUCUUCUUAAUAAGACUGACCUUCAGGAGAAAUUUGUUAACCAGAGCCUAACCUGCUCAGAUAUUAUCAGAGCCUAACUGACCUGAGGAAAGGAAAUACCCAACUCCAGCUCACUCUAGCCACCUAAGGGAGGAGAAAAAAACUGAGAACCACUUCUGAACUUUACCAUCUGAAGGCACAGACUCACAAAAAGACUGACUUAAUCAUAGGACUAUAGUGUGCUGCCCUCAGCCAGCCACAUACACACCUUACCAUCCAUUACUGAGGACUUGUUUAUGGUAGUUUCCUAUAGCCAGUACAUCAUGUCCAGCUAUCAAGAAAAAAAAUGACAAGCCACACUAAAAGAAAAAAAGCACAAUUUUAAGAGACAGAGCAAGCUUCAAAACCAAGUGUAGUAGGAAUAUUGGAAUUGUCAUACAGGGAAUUUAAAAUAUAUUUAUAAUUAUUAAGCUAAAGACUCUAAUGGAUAAAGUAGAUACCAUGAAAGAACAGGUGGGCAAUGUAAACAGAGCGAUAGGAAUCCUAAGAAAAAAACCAAAAGGAAAUACUAGAAAUAAAAAAUGCUAUGACAGAAAUGAAGAAUGCCUUUGAAGGGUUUCUUAGCAGACUAGACAUGGCUAAGGAAAGAAUCUCUGAGCUUGAGGAUUUCUCAAUAGAAACCUCCAAAACUGAAAAGUAGAGAAAAAAAGAAAAGACUGGGGGAAAAAAAAAAAAGAACAGUUUAUCCAAGGAUUAUGAAACAGCUACAAAAGGAGUAACAUACCUAUAAUGGUAAUAACAAAGGAGAAGAAAGGAAUAGAAGAAGUAUUUGAAAUGAUAAUGAUUUCUCCCAAAUUAAUGUCAAAUGCCAAAACACAGAUCCAGGAAGCUCAGAGAACACCAAGUAAUAUAAAUGCCAAAAAAAAAAACCCCUACACUUAAACAUAUCAUUUUCAGAUUACAGAAAAUCAGGAGUUCCCAUCAUGGUGCAGUGGAAAUGAAUCCGACUAGGAACCAUGAGGUUGCGGGUUUGAUCCCUGGCCUCGCUCAGUGGGUUAAGGAUCCUGCAUUGCUGUGAGCUGUGGUGUAGGUUGCAGAUGUGGCUCAGAUCUGGCAUUGCUGUGGUGUAGGCUGGCAGCUAUAGCUCCAAUUAGACCCCUAGCCUGGGAACCUCCGUAUACCAUGGGUACAGCCCUAAAAAAAAAGGCAAAAAAAUUUUUUUCAGAAAAUCAAAGAUAAACUAUUCUGAAAGAAGGCAGAGGAAAAAUAACCUCACCUAUAGAGGAACAAAGAAUUACCCCCCAAAAUUAUAUCAGCUUCUCAGAAAUCAUGAGAAUAAGAAGAGUGGAAUGAAAUAUUUAAGUAUUGAGAGGGAGAAAAAACUCUACCAACCUAAAAUUCUGUAUUUUCUGAAAUUUCAUUAAAAAGUGAAGGAGAAAUAAAGACCUCAGACAAACAAAAAUUGAGAGAAUGUGUUGCCAGUAGGCCUGCCUUAUAAAAAUCAUUAAAAGUUCUUUAGAUAGAAGGAAAAUUAUAUGGGUCAGACGCUUGGAUCUACAUAAAGAAAGCCCAUUUAGGAAGAACUAAAUUUCAGUAAAAUAAAUUAACUGAUCUAACAGAUCACAGUGUAUUUGACUGGGUAUACUUAUAUAUAAGUGAAAUGAAUAACAGCGAUGAUAUGAAAGACAAUAGGAGAAAUUAAGAUUCUUUGCUUUAAGGUACUGCCAAUGAAGUGGUAUUGUUAUUUGAAAGUGGACUUGGAUUCAUUGAAAAUAUAUAACUGAAAAAAA
rnacentral:lncRNA from 1 species